rnacentral:rRNA from 1 species
AGCAGCCGCGGUAAUUCCAGCUCCAAUAGCGUAUAUUAAAGUUGUUGCAGUUAAAAAGCUCGUAGUUGAACUUCAGGCCUGUCCAGAUGGUCCGCCUUAAUUGGUGUGUACUGUCCUUGGGUGGGUCCUACCUUCUGGCGAAGCGGCAUGGCCUUAGUUGGUUGUGUCGGGGAACCAGGACUUUUACUGUGAAAAAAAUUAGAGUGUUCAAAGCAGGCAAAUAUGCUCGAAUACAUUAGCAUGGAAUAAUGGAAUAGGACGAUGGUUCUAUUUUGUUGGUUCUAGGACCGUUGUAAUGAUUAAUAGGGAUAGUUGGGGGCAUUAGUAUUCAAUUGUCAGAGGUGAAAUUCUUGGAUUUAUUGAAGACUAACUACUGCGAAAGCAUUUGCCAAGGAUGUUUUCAUUAAUCAAGAACGAAAGUUAGGGGAUCGAAGACGAUCAGAUACCGUCGUAGUCUUAACCAUAA